UAGAGAUAGGGUUAGGGUUGAUGUGAUGGUUAGAGAUAGGGUUAGGGUUGAUGUGAUGGUUAGAGAUAGGGUUAGGGUUGAUGUGAUGGUUAGAGAUAGGGUUAGGGUUGAUGUGAUGGUUAGAGAUAGGGCUAGGGUUGAUGUGAUGGUUAGAGAUAGGGCUAGGGUUGAUGUGAUGGUUAGAGAUAGGGUUAGGGUUGAUGUGAUGGUUAGAGAUAGGGUUAGGGUUGAUGUGAUGGUUAGAGAUAGGGUUAGGGUUGAUGUGUUGUCCACAUGGUCCUGUGGUGGGGUGGUGGGGUAGUCUACUGUUGUUGUCCUCAUGGUCCUGUGAUGGUGUAGUGUUCAGUCUAGUUGGAUAAUGUCAUUAUCUAUAAAGGUAAAGGUAAGAAGCCGAUUGUUUGUUUGUAGAGAAGCUUCAAGUCUGUUUCAUCACAAUGCUCUUAACAUCUUACCAGAAAUAGGCUGACAGAUUCUUCUGGAGCUGUGGUAUCAUCUCUGCCUCAUCUUCAAAAGGAGGGAGACCUUAGCCGUGAUUAUCAGUUUUGGCUCGAGGGCCACAUCGGGAUUUUGAAAUUCAACAGAGGGAUGCAUUUUUUGGGGGACCAAUUGUUUGUUAUAAUCAAUUUGCGGGGGCCUCCCGAGUGGCGCAGCGGUCUAAGGUACUGCAUCGCAGUGCUAGAAGCGUCAUUACGGACCCGGGUUCGAUCAUAGCUGGCCGUGACUAAAAGACCCAUGAGGCAGCGCACAAUUGGCCCAGUGUCGUCCGGGUUAGGAGAGGGAUUAGCUGGCCAAGAUUUCAUUGUCCCAUUGCGCUCUAGUGACUCCUGUGGCGGGCCGGGCGCAGUACACGCUGACACGGUCGCCAGGUGUACGGUGUUUCCUCCGACACAUUGGUGCAGCUGGUUUCCGGGUUAAGAAACAGUGCGGCUUGGCUGGGUCAAUGUUCAACUGCUUGGGCUCUUGUUCCUGUUAUUUGAAUAUUAUCUCAAAAGUAUUGUGGAGCUCCUGCACCUAAAUAUAAACAGUACUGGCAACCAAAAUGAGUACCGACACCUAUUUCAACCCAUGUCAAGCACUGGGUAUAUGUAAUAGCAAUUGUCUUCCUGGUGAGAAUAGGACAUCCGACCACAGGACACUGUCACAGCAUGCUUGUUUGUUUGAAGCUCUUUUAUUAUUGGUAAAGACAAACCAUUUAUUGGGAAAAUGGGAUAUAAUUGUGAAAAAUGGUAUCAAAUCAAAUUGUAUUUGUCACAUGUGCCAUAUACAACAGAUGUAGACUUUACUGUGAAAUGCUUACUGACGAGAGCCCUUUUCCCAACAACGCUGAAUUACAAAGUAAGAAUUGAACGGUCAAGAAAAUGCAAUUGAAUUCUGCAUCGUUCUAUUGUCUGUUUCUAGUAUCAAUGUUCCACCAAAGUCCAUGUCAGGUCAAUAUAAUAAUAUACAUACCCUGGUCUGGCUCUUGAUAUACCCUGGUCUGGCUCUUGAUAUACCCUGGUCUGGCUCUUGAGAUAACCUGGCCUGUGUGCCAGGCUCUUGAGAUAACCUGGCCUGUGUGCCAGGCUCUUGAGAUAACCUGGCCUGUGUGCCAGGCUCUUGAGAUAACCUGGCCUGUGUGCCAGGCUCUUGAGAUAACCUGGCCUGUGUGCCAGGCUCUUGAGAUAACCUGGCCUGUGUGCCAGGCUCUUGACAACUUCAUAUGGAAUUGCCUUUAAGCUUGAAAAUGACAUUGGAGUUGGCAAAAGCACAGAUCUGGGACCAGGCUAUAUUCAGCGCCUUCGGAAAAUAUUCAGACCCCUCGACUUUUUCCACAUGUUGUUACGUUACAGCCUUAUUCUAAAAUGUAUCAAAUUAAUAUGUACAUACAGUACCAGUCAAAAGUGUGUACACACCUACUCAUUCAAGGGUAUUUCUUUAUUUCGACGAUUUUCUACAUUAUAGAAUAAUAGUGAAGACAUUGGAAACUAUGAAAUAACACAUAUGGAAUCAUGUAGUAACGAAAAAACUGUUAAACAAAUGAAAAUAUAUUUUAGAUUUGAGAUUCUUCAAAGUAGCCACCCUUCGCCUUGAUGACAGUUUUGCACACUCUUGGCAUUCUCUCAACCAGCUUCAUGAGGUAGUCACCUGGAAUGCAUUUCAAUUAACAGGCGUGCCCUGUUGAAAGUUAAUUUGUGGAAUUUCUUUCCUUCUUAAUGCGUUUGAGACAAUCAGUUGUGUUGUGAAAAGGUAGGGGUGGUAUACAGAAGAUAGCCCUAUUUGGUAAAAGACCAAGUCCAUAUUAUGGCAAGAACAGCUCAAAUAAGAGAAAUGACAGCCCAUGAUUACUUUAAAACAUGAAAGUCAGUCAAUACGAAAAAUGUCAAGAACUUUGAAAGUUUCUUCAAGUGCAGUCGCAAAAACCAUCAAGCGCUAUGAUGAAACUGGCUCUCAUGAGGACCGCCACAGGAAAGGAAGACCCAGAGUUUCCUCUGCUGCAGAUAAUAGGCUCAUUACAGUUACCAGCCUCAGAAUGGAAAGGAAGACCCAGAGUUACCUCUGCUGCAGAGGAUACGUUCAUUGGAGUGUUAUUUUAGUUUUGAUGUCUUCACUAUUAUUCUACAAUGUAGAACAUUGUCAAAUGAAAAGAAAAACCCUUGAAUGAGUAGGUGUUCUAAAUCUUUUGACCGGUAGUGUAUAUGUCUUGGACAAGGCUAUAUAUAUAUAUGUCUGUAUCUUUUCUGUUGACAAUUUAUCAGUGUAUCAUAUUUUCUUUAUUUCUUGAUGUGCAAAACUGUUGGCUGAGCAGCAGUGCUUGACUUGGGCAGGUGCUUGACUUGGGCAGGAGCUCUGUUGGCUGAGAAGCAGUGCUUGACUUGGGCAGGAGCUCUGUUGGCUGAGAAGCAGUGCUUGACUUGGGCAGGAGCUCUGUUGACUUGGGCAGGUGCUUGACUUGGGCAGGAGCUCUGUUGACUGAGAAGCAGUGCUUGACUUGGGCAGGAGCUCUGUUGACUGAGAAGCAGUGCUUGACUUGGGCAGGAGCUCUGUUGACUUGGGCAGGUGCUUGACUUGGGCAGGAGCUCUGUUGACUGAGAAGCAGUGCUUGACUUGGGCAGGAGCUCACUGGAGCAGAGUACCAGCACCUCAAAUGUUCCUCUUAUAGAAUAUAAAAGUAUUGUGGAGCUCCUGCACCUGAAUAUAAACAGUACCGGCACCUAUUUCAGUCCAUGUCAAGCACUGCUGAGCAGUGUGGGAGGGGCUAACGCUGUUGGUUUUAUAUAGAGAAAAAUAGCUCUGGUCCAGGUUGUGGUUUGGUAAUGUUCUCAACGUCGCCCUGGACCAGAGCUAUAGAUAUUAACACGUCCAUUAUAGAUGUACAUAGUGUAUUUCUCUGCUUUGGUGUACAACAAUAUAAGCUGUUUUUCUUACUUUAUACGUUUGUACUUCUGUGAAAUAAAGAUUAUUAUUUUA